CUCCACACUACAGGACUACAGGUGUGCACCCACACUCCACACUACAGGACUGCAGGUGUGCACCCACACUCCACACUACAGGACUACAGGUGUGCACCCACACUCCACACUACAGGACUGCAGGUGUGCACCCACACUCCACACUACAGGACUACAGGUGUGCACCCACACUCCACACUACAGGACUACAGGUGUGCACCCACACUCCACACUACAGGACUGCAGGUGUGCACCCAC